rnacentral:rRNA from 1 species
AUUAGAUUAAAAACCAAUGCCCUUCGGGGCUCUCUGGUGAUUCAUGAUAACUUCUCGAAUCGCAUGGCCUUGCGCCGGCGAUGGUUCAUUCAAAUUUCUUCCCUAUCAACUUUCGAUGUUUGGGUAUUGGCCAAACAUGGUUGCAACGGGUAACGGAGGGUUAGGGCUCGACCCCGGAGAAGGAGCCUGAGAAACGGCUACUACAUCCAAGGAAGGCAGCAGGCGCGCAAAUUACCCAAUCCCGACUCGGGGAGGUAGUGACAAUAAAUACUGAUACAGGGUCCUUUCGGAUCUUGUAAUUGGAAUGAGUACAAUUUAAAUCCCUUAACGAGGAACAAUUGGAGGGCAAGUCUGGUGCCAGCAGCCGCGGUAAUUCCAGCUCCAAUAGCGUAUAUUAAAGUUGUUGUGGUUAAAAAGCUCGUAGUUGAACCUUGGGCCUGGCUGGCCGGUCCGCCUCACCGCGUGUACUGGUCCGGCCGGGCCUUUCCCUCUGUGGAACCCUAUGCCCUUCACUGGG